rnacentral:lncRNA from 1 species
GGAGGAGUGUACUGUUGAGAUCAAUGUCGGGAUCCGCAAGUACUACUAUUCAGAGUUCCCAUGGACUUUUCGUUCAGGCAAAUGAUAGCCUUCUUAAAAUUGCAUUUUGUUGUUGGUGUUUUAGGUUUCUAUUGCGUAGCAUCAGAUUAAUAUUGCCAAGCAUGAGCUGGCGGGGCAUAUGGAAGAUAUCCCAUGGGCCAGCAGCUGGAGCCUGGAAGUGGAUGUUAAUGCUCCAUAGCAGAGAGUUUAGGUUUACAGCAAGCAGUGACUACCAAAUUUUCCAUGGUUAGUGUUGAUUCCUAAUGAUCCGUGGUUUAUAACAUUGACGAUAACAUCUAGGCUAUCUCAAAUUUACCAUCAGAAUAGUGAUCUUUGUGCAUGAUUGGUUUAAAUUAAUUUUUUCAUCCCAGCUCUUCUGUUUACAGUAGGAUAUAAACGGAGAUUGUCAUGGAGAUGGUUGCCAUCAGUUCCAUUUUGUUGCACAUCACAAGCCUGCCAUUUUAGGUUGAUAUAUGUUUUCAAUAUCUUUACCUCUACUAUUUCAAGAAUGUGUGAUGUGUCACUAGCUUAUUCCAUUCUUGCAUUGUAGUACCUUGAGGUCUGACUCCUGCAUGCAAAUGGGGAGAUGCAUUCAUGUGCUUGCUGUUGCAUGCCAGUAGCUUCGUUCAGUUGCUUCAGUGGGAUAAAGUUACUCGAUGUGGAUUUUGUUCUGUAAACGUUCAACAAAUUUGCCAGCGAGUAGUUUGACACAUACGAGCAUGAGGUUCUUCUGGUAACAAGUUCUUGAUACGUCGAUAGGAUAAGUUUUAUAGAAAUGAGAUGAUCUUCUUAAGGGAGGCAUUUUUACAUCUUUGCACAGGUGUACUUUUGCGGCUGUACUUUUGUUAAUUGAAAGUGGAAUUACCCCAAUUGAUAACCAAAUUUUGUGCUCACUGCCGACAUGGGGUUGACGAUGACGUCCCAGAGCCCUUGCCUCUGCUUGAUGCUGCGUCGAGCAAGGUCCACCCCUGCUACCAAAUGCAUUUGGACUCGCAUAUUUCUAUCAUAGAGGAGUAAACCUACAAAUCUCAUCUCAUUCUUUCACAGAUGAAGCCAUCAGAUACGUGUGGUGUGUAGAGUCCGUUCUAAUCAAUGGAAAGGAAGUGGAGGAAGGGAAAUUGCCUACAGGUGAUACUGAUAACUUUAAAACCAUUACUAUGGUUACAAAAUGCGGUAAAUAUUGCAGACAAUGAUAACUUUAAAAACAUUACUAUGAUUACAAAAUGCGUAAAUAUUGCAGAUACUUCAUUUUUCCUAUUUGGUACAGUUAGAUCCUUAUUCGCUUACUUGUGAUGUAUUUCUGAUUGUUUUGACGUGUUCAUGAAUUGCAAAAUGGGGCUUCAAAUGCAUAUCAAAUCAUGAUUUCCAACAUGAUCGAUUUUCAUGUCUUUUUUGCAGAGUUAUUUACAUUUCAACCUGAUCACAAGGCCAUUAGAGAUUGGACUAUUCCACUCGGUCCGAACUACAUUAGGUCAAUUGUACAUUUUAUUUCAAGUUACGAAGAAUAUGAGCUGAGAACAUAUAGGAGCUCUAUGUGGUUUAAAUAUUUUUAGACGAAGUUUGAUGUACUUCUCAUGAAUAUCUUCGUAAACAGAAAUAAUGGUAAACCAUGCACUGCUACAUUAUGUUUCACCAGAAUCACUCUUUAUAAUAUCUUGUUGCUUUCAUGUUGUGGAUACUAAUUAUCUUCGGCAUCUACUAAGGUAAAGCUAAAUGUUUU